GACGAACGCUGGCGGCGUGCUUAACACAUGCAAGUCGAACGGAAAGGCCUGCUUUCCCUUGUGGAUUGCGGGUACUCGAGUGGCGAACGGGUGAGUAACACGUGAGUGAUCUGCCCCCAACUUGGGUAUAAGCCUGGGAAACUGGGUCUAAUUCCCGAUAGGACUGCAGGGUGGUGCCUGUGGUGGAAAACGAUUUUCUAGUGGUUGGGGAUGAGCUCGCGGCCUAUCAGCUUGUUGGUGGGGUAAUGGCCUACCAAGGCGGCGACGGGGAGCCGGCCUGGGAGGGGGGACGGCCACAUUGGGACUGAGAUACGGCCCAGACUCCUACGGGAGGCAGCAGUGGGGAAUAUUGCACAAUGGGCGGAAGCCUGAUGCAGCGACGCCGCGGGGGGGAUGACGGCCUUCGGGUUGUAAACUCCUUUCGACCGCGAGGAAGCCACCUGGUUGGAAGGGUGGUGACGGUAGUGGUAGAAGAAGCACCGGCUAACUACGUG
rnacentral:rRNA from 1 species